UCAUCAAGCGGACAAGCCGGGGAGAAUUCACGGGGAAAAGGCGCGCUUUAAAGCUUUCAGGUACCCAAGUGAAGGAUGAAGAUCAAGCUUGUCAACUCGAACCGAACACUCUAGCAAACGCUUCCGCAUAUAACCUUUUGUUUUAAAAACCAUGUAAACAAUUGUAGUUAAUGUCUUGGUUAUGAUUUUGUAAAAA